UACGUAGGGACCGAGCGUUGUCCGGAAUCAUUGGGCGUAAAGAGCGUGUAGGCGGCCACUUAAGUCCUGCGUGAAAUCUUGCGGCUCAACCGCAAGCGGUCGUGGGAAACUGGAGGGCUAGAGUGCGGGAGAGGAGAGUGGAAUUCCCGGUGUAGCGGUGAAAUGCGCAGAUAUCGGGAAGAACACCGGUGGCGAAGGCGGCCUGCUGGGCAGUUUAGCUGACACUGAGGCGCGACAGCGUGGGGAGCAAACAGG
rnacentral:rRNA from 1 species